rnacentral:rRNA from 1 species
CUACGGGGCGCUGCAGUGAGGAAUAUUGCACAAUGGAGGAAACUCUGAUGCAGCAACGCCGCGUGGAGGAUGACGCAUUUCGGUGUGUAAACUCCUUUUAUAUGUCAAGAAAAUGACGGUAGCAUAUGAAUAAGCACCGGCUAACUCCGUGCCAGCAGCCGCGGUAAUACGGAGGGUGCAAGCGUUACUCGGAAUCACUGGGCGUAAAGGACGCGUAGGCGGGAUAUCAAGUCAGGUGUGAAAUCCUACAGCUUAACUGUAGAACUGCACUUGAAACUUCUAAUCUAGAGUAUGGGAGGGGGAGAUGGAAUUAGUGGUGUAGGGGUAAAAUCCGUAGAUAUCACUAGGAAUACCUAAAGCGAAGGCGAUCUCCUGGAACAUUACUGACGCUAAGGCGUGAAAGCGUGGGGAGCAAACAGGAUUAGAUACCCUCGUAGUC